CUAUUAAAAGUGACUCUGACCACAAGGAAUAAAAGGCAUUGGAAGUGAUACUGAAAAACUGUAGCAAAAAAAAUUAUUUAUUUGCACAGGGAUGACCACACACACAGAAAUGCAUGGAACAAGCACAACCAGAUGCCCCACAGAGGUCAAGGAGGUUCUGACGAGUGGUUCUCUGAGGACCAUACAUAAAUGUGAAUGACUAACCAUAUCUCUGAAGAUAGACUCCUGGCAAAGGUUCUUGAACUUAAACAACGGAGCUUGAGUAGAAGCUUUAAAGAUUGAAGCUGUGAGAGCUUUCUAAGGAACUGAGAAAACUCUUAAACACUUGUUAAAUGAAACAGAGACUACUCAACUGCAAGUAUGACUGAAAGAUUUUAGAGCUGAUCUUUUCCUAAGAUGAGAGUUGGGACUGUAUAUAUGAGAAUUAUUUUGUUUUUCAUCAUCACCAUCUAAUCAGGAACCAGUAAGAUAUUUUCCAUAACUGUGCAAGAUUCUCCUGCUGUUGGGACUACCUUCUCAGAGGUGGGUUUAUUCCAGAAGUGGUAUGUGCAGCUGAUGAACAGUACACAACAAAAUACUGCAAAUCAUAUCUUUCUGGGACAAUGAAACCAUACAUUUGCCAUCAUGCACACAGAUGAGUAAGAGCAGAGUAAAAUACAAUGUGAGCUGCUGACAUAGUGAAUCCCAAAGUCAAGAUCAAAGUCAACGUUUGCAACCAAGAUGAAUGUGUAGUCCUGUAUUCCACAUAGCUGGCUUUGAAGAUGGAAGAAAUACAGCUGUUACCAUUGCUGCAGUUAGCUCAAAGCUGUGGGGUCCUGGAUGUUGUCGUCAUAUCCUAGACCAGAUUGUAGCAGCAACAAUCAAGAACUAGAGCAGUCCCCUUUGACUGUUUCAGGGAGCACUGAUUGUUCACUUUGUUCAUGAAAACUGUGAAGAAGUUAUCAACAACUUCCUUGUGUUUUGGUGAAAGUGGAGGAAUGUAUAAAAAAAAAUCUCAGGAAAAUGAAAAGAAGAAACUGGAGGGAAAAGAUUUUGCGAGAAAAAUCAACUUUGACUUAUUUCUUCAGAUUUUCAGCGAACAAGUUGCAUUAUGCUAUGUCAGUAGAGGUUUUACUUGCAGAAAGAGGAAAAAUUAAGUUAAGUAAUCAGCAUGUAUUUAUUGUGUUUAGCUCUCUAUGCUUCAGGCAAUCAAAAAUAACAUCAAAUACUGUAAGAAUUUUCUCUCUUUUCAGUGCUUCUCUUGUCUUCUUAUAAUUACAAAUGACUUUUAUACAGGAAUUUUUGCUUUUACUCUAUCUGAAAUAUUGGAAGCAUGUAGUCUUGCCUGAAAAAUGCUGAUGGAUGUAAUAGCUAUAUAGGUACAAUAGCAAUAGAUAUAAGAAAGUAAGACUUUCUUAUAAUGUGCUGUUCUUUUUAUUUUUUUUUCUAGCUAAUUGCUCCAGUCUAGUAGUCUUUGAUAUUAUCACUAGGCUUGGGAUAUUUUAUUAGUGCAAAAUAAUAGCUGCUGAAGUGGGGGGCUCAAUAUGUAUUCUAAUGCUUUGAUUUAAGCAUAUUAUUUAAAUGAAGAAAAUUAUACAAUUUCUUUUGUUUACCUUAAGAUAUUGUUUCACAAUUAAAUUAUUUACAAUGUCAUUUUUGUUUGGCUUUUUUGGUUUUGUUUGUUUUGUUUUUGUUUUGACCUUUAUUUUUAUUGGCUAAACUUGUCAGUGUUCCUGCUUUCCUGGACCAAUUAACAUCUUCCUUUCACUUAUUUAGUGAAAGAUUUACAUCCUUCAGUAGCAGGUUGUUAUUUUCCUAAGCCAUUCAUUUGUAAUUUCUAUUUUAACCAAGGUAUAUGUGCCUUCCUUUUUCUCUGUUUCAAAAACUACUUUCAUAUGUUCACUUGGUAUUGCCAUUUUUUGAGUUCUCUUUGAAUUGUUAACAGCUUCUUAGCAAGACAAUUGUAGGGCUACACAUGGGAUCUCUGCCAUGCCAUAUAUGCAAUUACUGUCAUGGUAUGCAGCUUGAUAUAAAAAUCUAAGAGAUUUAUUUGCUGGCUAUUUCACUUAAGAAGUUCAUUGCUAGUUCUAUUACAAGUCUUUAAGUACCUUCUUUCCGUUAAAUACCAAUUUGUGUUAGUUUUAUAUCAUGGAUCAAUUCUUAUGAUAUUGUAGAAUUAACGACUAAUGGAGUGGGCCUUGUGAAAAAUAAUUGAUUCAUGUUUCACAGGAAACAGUGUAUUUCUUGGUGCGUAAGAUACUUUAAAAUAAAAUUAAUAAUAAAUAUUAGGAAAUUACCACAGAAUAUUUUCAAGGUUUGUGAAAUUUCCCUGAUGGUAUAGUCACCUGUUUUUGUUUACACUUACACCACUGGAAUUUUGAUUUCCUGAGAAUAAUUCUUAGAGGCUAGAAUCAGGUGCUUUAUUUUAGUCAUUUAGUGUAUAUUAAUAACUUUAUUUUCCUAAUUAGCAUGAACAGUAGGAUAGGCAAAAGAAUAAUAAAUAUUUAUACUAUUCACGACCUAUUUCUCCCUGUUCCAUAGGUAUUCAAAUAUUUAUUGAAUCAUUUAAUGAAAGUUUUGAACUACAUUACAACUGUCAGUAUUUGAGAUUUUUUAUUUUAUUUUUUUAUUUUUUUAUUUUAAAAUAAAAGCCAAGCAAUGAGAACUUCAGCACCUGCCUCACUUCAAGUACUACAAGUACUAUUCGGUUCUUCUGACUUCAUUGUAUGUUCUUGAUUUAGGGAAGUAUUUAUACUCUUUAUAAGACUGGCUCACUUGCCUUAAAAAAAUAUAUAUUUUUUAAAUUUUUUUUUUCCAUGGUGCACUAACAGUUUACACAAAUAAUAGCAUCUGGUUCCAUAUGUAUUUAUUCCUCAGAAAAUAUAUUUUCUUACAACUGUUCUAAAGGAAUAACAUCCUUAGGCUAAGCUUCAGGCUGAGGGUUUCUUUGAAAAAUCAUUUUUGAAAAAAACGUUUAUGGAUUUUCUGUGAGGUUAACUCUAUUCUUUGGGUGGAACUCUGUAGAAUAGUUGAAUCUGUGCAUUAGUGGAAUUUAGGGAAAGGAAAUCUAAAAAGAUUUUUUUGUUAUCAAUUUUGAAGGAGAAUUUUCAUGAUAGUCUGUGAACCAAGGCUAUAAUGUCCUUCCUAAUGGUCCUGUUCUGCUUGAAAACACUGAAGGUAUUUAAAUCAAAGAAAAGUUUAGCUUCUCUCAGGAUUGUGAUAUCAAGAAAAGGAGUGCCUAAUGCCAUGGACUGAUUGGGAAAUCCGAGCAUUUCUGGAAAAUAUGAACUUCAGAAUCAUUGCAUAAUCUUGAUCUUCUUGCAGUGCUCAGUAGACAAGGCAGCAAUUUUCUGUCUUUGUUAAAACAACUAAAAUUACUUCUGUUCUAUUUACAAAGCAGCACCAGAGUGAAUGGAUGUUGGCUUUGGACCAACCCCCUAUUUUCUUAAAACUCUGACAUUUUUAAUAUGAUAGGGAAGACCUUUAUUUCUGCAUCUUCCUGCCCCUUGACAUAUCCAACUUUCACCCAUUUGGUCUUCCCAACCCUAGUUGUUCACCACUUGACACACUUUCUAUAAAAUUUGAGAUUAUGGUAACUUCUUAUUCACCAAAGCUAAACCUCUGUUCUUGUCUACUCUUCUGUAAUGAGCUGUUGUACUCAAAUACUGUCAAAGGUUAUGGCUUUUUUUUUUCCUGUCUAGAAGCAAUCUUUGUCACUUAUAAAAAUAAAUAGACGACUUGUGUGGCAACAGAGCAUAAAUUCAGAAAUUCAUUGUGGUCUCUGAGCACAAAAUCCCAAUGGAAUCAAAGUGGGCCUGGAGACUACCAGAUCAGUGAACUAAGGAGCUCUUUGGUUCAUCAGCUCUCACAUUUCUCAAGCUUAUCAGUCAAUCAAGUACUCUAAGACUUGAGAUUGGCUGUAUUCAUGAUACUUUCAACAUGACUAGAAGAAACGUACUGAACAAGUCCUUCUUCUAAAGAUUUAGUCCUCUUUUGCAGAAGUAAAAGAAUCAGUUAAGAUUGAAAUGAAGGGAUGUAUUGGAAAACAUACCAUAGGAGAAAGAGAAAAUAAGAGAAAAGAAAGAAUAACGUAUAUAUUUAAAAAUAAUAAUGUCACUUAGCUGUAAAAUCAUCGCACCUACAUGCCACCUGUACCACCCACAUUGUAGCAUUAAAGCCUUCUGUCAAUGAUUCAAGUUUUCUGGUUGAAAUGAUAAAUUAAGGUAUUAACAGAGCAUUUCUGCACCUUCGGACAACAGACUAUGAAUAGGAUGGUGAAAGACAAUCUCUUAAAAUGUCACGGCUGUUUUUACCGUCUGUCUCAUUAAAUUUGGUCACCUUCUACAAAGCAUGUUAUUUUUAACAGCUAUUUCACUCAGGAGGAUUGACAGUGCUGUGGACACCUGCUGUGACCAAGGAAACCUUCAAUGAAAUGGGAGAUUGAAUUUAAUACAAUAAUGCAGUAUGGAUGACUCAUCUGACAACAGUUCUGCAGGAGUACUGUUGGGUGGUCUCAGCAAUAGCUCAGAUUAUACACCAAAGAAGGGGAAGAACAAAGGAUGCUGUCUGUCCUAAAGAGUUAAUAAUAUAAAGAUGGACAGAAAAAGAAUCAUUGACUAAAACAGACGUAUGGAGGGGAACAAAAAAGCAACAGGAGUGCACUGAUAAACACAAAACCAAGUGGUUUUUGAACAGACUGCAACCUCUAUGCUGUCAUAGCUAAGAAUUUCAGACCCUUUUUCUAGAGUCUUCCCCCUACUGUCAUAAGAAACUGUUUAGAUGAGUAAUUGAAAAUGAACACAAAGCAGACAUGAGUUGAAACAAGAUGAAUGUCUUCAGAAUUUGAUAGGUUGUAUACUGACAAUAUGUUAUAACAUGCUUCUAGAUCAAGUCCUUCUAGUUGUAAAUGUGCAUUUUAAAAUCAUCAUGAUAGACAAGUCUGUGUUUCUGGAGAGGAAAGCAACUAAUACAGACAAAAGCUGAGCAAGAACUGAUUAAAAUGAUGACUGUGCAAGUACUUCUCUCCUGUAGCAUCAAGCAGACAAACACACAGGCGCUUUGGCAUGGCACAUCUGAAAUUGCUGUAAGUUUCUCCCUUGAAGUGUUAACUGAAAAUACAUAUUAUAAUGUUUAAGCUGUAGAAAUGCAAUGACAGUGAAAUCAACUACAGCACUCAAUAUGCCUGUAACUGCUGACCUAAAAAAAAAAAAAGCCUUAAUGUAAUAACUCUCAGGUACUGAGUAUAUCUGUUCUCAGUGUCAAACCUUCCAAAAGAUCAAAAGUCUGCAUUGAUUCUAUGGAAUCAUUCUAGAACAUUAUCACUAUAUAAAAUGAAAAUUCUUUGCUUAGAGAGGCAGUAUUUUAUUAAGGUGAUGCAAUAU